CCGGCUGUGGAUGACGGGCAAAUUCCACAUCUGUAUGAGACAGCGGUAUUCUAGGCAUUAUUUUAAUGCUGUAUUUCAAACUGGGAAGUGGGAAUGUUUUCUGAAGGGUGAUGUGUAGCGAGAGGCGAGCCAGAGCUUCACAGAGACAGGUGUCUGCUUAAUAGGACUUUGAAGACUUGAAGAUGGCUGAUUGGGUCAGAGACCAGAAAUCACUGCAAAGGAGGAUAUUACCAGCAUGAACGAUCAGUCUGAGCGUACCUCAUCAAUGUACGGCCAUCCAGUGGGGGCGGCAUCUCCAGCAGGGAGGAUUUUACCCAGUAAGCUGUAGGUUUGAGUCCCAGGGGAAGCAUUGCAUGUUUUGCUGGUAUGAAAGACUGUAAAUUAUCAUAAAAUGCAAACAAAAAAAAUAGAAAGAAAUAAGGGCCAUUGUCAAUAGGAUUUACUAAGCUGUCAAUCACUGACCGGGUUAAUCCUAUUGGAGCAGACAACGGGACUUUUUUGUGAUUGAUGGUUCUCUGAGGCUCCGCCCACCAGGGGCUUCAGAGCCCCACCUCCCUGGCUGAAUAAACCGGUGGGCUACAUGGUCUUUUCCAGAUGUGGGUGUUUGGCGAAAGCCCCAUGAAAAUGUAUCAUAACUCUGCUUUCUGCCAGGAUUAUUUAUACUUUGUCAAGUUUCCAAGCUUCUGAGAUCAUCCUGGGAUGUAAAAAGAAAACUCACAGAUACAUCAGCAGCCAUCGUCUUAGGUACUCCUGUCUAGCACCAGAUCAUGUGUGAAUGGCACAUGAUGGAUGACAUCAUCAUUGGGGGACAAGAGCCUCACGUUGCAGCGAGAAGCUGGUGUGGCCAAGUCAGCCUCAUUGUAUCCAAGACAACGCGGACACCCAGACCGGUGACUAAGACUGAUUGUGCGAGUUUCCAGCUCUGCAUCUCGCAAUGGUGAGGUCUUUCGGAGUGGCACUUUCAUAUUCCUUUUCUGAUUCUGUUUCAGAAAAUCUCUUUAAUUAAACAGGGCUUUGGUUCAUGUGCACAUAUCUGCAUCUAGUUGCUGGUCCACAGUAAUGGAUGAAUUCCUCUUCACAAAGUCAAUCACACAGAAUCUUCAUUCAUGCUGUAAACUAUCUCUGCCACUCUGUUUAUGAGUGUGUCUGAGUGUCGGUUGUGGUGUGAUGCUGUUCGGUCUGUUUAUGGUUGUGUUUCGUGCUGUCCCUGUUCUGUGUGAUGAUGAGUGUGUCAGAGUUCAGGUGUAUUGGUGUGUACCAUUGUGUGUUCAUGUGUACCAUUGUGUGUUGGUGUGUACCAUUUUGUGUAGGUGUGUGCCAUUUUGUGUUGAUGUGUACCAUUGUGUGUUGGUGUGCACCAUUGUGUGUUCAUGUGUACCAUUGAGUGUUGGUGUGUACCAUUUUGUGUAGGUGUGUGCCAUUUUGUGUUGAUGUGUACCAUUGUGUGUUGGUGUGCACUAUUGUGUGUUGGUGUGCACCACUGUGUGUUCAUGUGUACCAUUGUGUGUUGGUGUGCACUAUUGUGUUUUGGUGUGCUUACACAUAAGCAGCCCAGGUUCUCUGUUUGACAGUUUAUCACUGUUGAUAGUUUUGACUAACACAGAUCACCAUUACAAAUAUCUGAAUUAUGAUUUCAUGUGUACUGAAUCUAUAUUUAAGAUAUGUAAGUAUUUAUGAUCUCACACUUUAACACAUAAAAGGGAAAACUUAACACUUAACUCAUAGGAAGAUUAAUAAUAGAGCCUGGAUACAUGACACAUUCUGAUCGCCCACGAGAGCCAACAUGACGCAUAAGAAGGACCUAGAAAGUACAUGUCAGCAUGUAAGGAAUCUGCAGUGACUGACAGGGGGUGGGACUAACAGGCAGGUUGUCCAGUGUGUGGUGAGUGUGUUAGAGUGAUUGACAGGGGGUGGGACUAACAGGCAGGUUGUCCAGUGUGUGGUGAGUGUGUUAGAGUGAUUGACAGGGGGUGGGACUAACAGGCAGGUUGUCCAGUGUGUGGUGAGUGUGUUAGAGUGAUUGACAAUGGGUGGGACUAACAGGCAGGUUGUCCAGUGUGUGGUGAGUGUGUUAGAGUGAUUGACAGGGGGUGGGACUAACAGGCAGGUUGUCCAGUGUGUGGUGAGUGUGUUAGAGUGAUUGACAGGGGGUGGGACUAACAGGCAGCUUGUCCAGUGUGUGGUGAGUGUGUUAGAGUGAUUGACAGGGGGUGGGACUAACAGGCAGGUUGUCCAGUGUGUGGUGAGUGUGCUAGAGUGAUUGACAAUGGGUGGGACUAACAGGCAGCUUGUCCAGUGUGUGGUGAGUGUGUUAGAGUGAUUGACAGGGGAUGGGACUAACAGGCAGGUUGUCCAGUAU